UCCCAAAAGAAGCACAUCCCAGGGGGAGCCACCAUCGGUGAUCAUGAUAGCAUGGAGUUUGACUGGGAUUGGGAGAACGACACGAAUGUUCCCAAUGGUAGAAGCGACGACAGGUCGAGCGUGUUUGGCACUCCCACUCUCACUCACUUAGACCAGGAACAUCACCCAAUGCACAGAGGGCUCAUUACGCAUCUGAAUCGGCAGCGACUGUCGACGCGGUCGCAGCAGUGGUCGGU